rnacentral:rRNA from 1 species
GAGUUUGAUCCUGGCUCAGGACGAACGCUGGCGGCGUGCUUAACACAUGCAAGUCGAGCGAUGAAACUUCUUUUAGAAGUGGAUUAGCGGCGGACGGGUGAGUAGCACGUGGGCAACCUGCCCUAUAGAGGGGAAUAGCCUUUCGAAAGGAAGAUUAAUACCCCAUAAGAUUGUAGUUUCACAUGGAACAGCAAUUAAAGGAGUAAUCCGCUAUAGGAUGGGCCCGCGGCGCAUUAGCUAGUUGGUGAGGUAACGGCUCACCAAGGCGACGAUGCGUAGCCGACCUGAGAGGGUGAUCGGCCACGUUGGGACUGAGACACGGCCCAGACUCCUACGGGAGGCAGCAGUGGGGAAUAUUGCACAAUGGGGGAAACCCUGAUGCAGCAGCGCCACGUGAGUGAUGACGGCGUUCGGGUUGUAAAGCUCUGUCUUUGGGGACGAUAAUGACGGUACCCAAGGAGGAAGCCACGGCUAACUACGUGCCAGCAGCCGCGGUGAUACGUAG